rnacentral:rRNA from 1 species
UACGUAGGUCCCGAGCGUUAUCCGGAUUUAUUGGGCGUAAAGCGAGCGCAGGUGGUUUAUUAAGUCUGGUGUAAAAGGCAGUGGCUUAACCAUUGUAUGCAUUGGAAACUGGUAGACUUGAGCGCAGGAGAGGAGAGUGGAAUUCCAUGUGUAGCGGUGAAAUGCGUAGAUAUAUGGAGGAACACCGGUGGCGAAAGCGGCUCUCUGGCCUGUAACUGACACUGAGGCUCGAAAGCGUGGGGAGCAAACAGG